rnacentral:rRNA from 1 species
AACAGGAUUAGAUACCCUGGUAGUCCACGCCGUAAACGAUGUCGACUAGCCGUUGGGUGCCUCGAGCACUUAGUGGCGCAGUUAACGCGAUAAGUCGACCGCCUGGGGAGUACGGCCGCAAGGUUAAAACUCAAAUGAAUUGACGGGGGCCCGCACAAGCGGUGGAGCAUGUGGUUUAAUUCGAUGCAACGCGAAGAACCUUACCUACCCUUGACAUCCUCGGAAUCCGCCGGAGACGGCGGAGUGCCUUCGGGAACCGAGUGACAGGUGCUGCAUGGCUGUCGUCAGCUCGUGUUGUGAAAUGUUGGGUUAAGUCCCGUAACGAGCGCAACCCCUGUCCCUAUUUGCCAGCGAUUCGGUCGGGAACUCUAGGGAGACUGCCGGUGACAAACCGGAGGAAGGUGGGGACGACGUCAAGUCAUCAUGGCCCUUACGGGUAGGGCUACACACGUGCUACAAUGGCAGGUACAAAGGGUUGCAAGACGGCGACGUGGAGCUAAUCCCAUAAAGCCUGCCUCAGUCCGGAUCGGAGUCUGCAACUCGACUCCGUGAAGUCGGAAUCGCUAGUAAUCGUGAAUCAGAAUGUCACGGUGAAUACGUUCCCGGGCCUUGUACACACCGCCCGUCACACCAUGGGAGUGGACUGCACCAGAAGUGGUUAGCUUAACCUUCGGGAGAGCGAUCACCACGGUGUGGUUCAUGACUGGGGUGAAGUCGUAACAAGGUAACC